UUUCAAUUUCCGCCUAUAAAUAGGAUUUUUCUUGCACUUGAAGAGUCCAAAACGCAGAAAGAUUUGUUCAUAUACUAAAAUCACAUAUUUUUGUAGCUAAGAUGGCCGCUUUGUCCACCAAGCAUAUUGUUCUGCUAGUUCUUUUACUCUUUUGCUUUGUCUCAACCUGUUGUCAAGCAAGGCGUUUUAAAAUGGAGAAUCCUCAGCCGAAAAAUACCGAAAAUCAGAAAGGAAUCAUUGGAACAAAACAAGAGCUCCCUGAUAUUGAAGAUUUAGCAGUAAUGGAUUACACUCCUGCAAGAAAGAAAACUCCAAUUCAUAAUUAGCAUGAUGGAUUUUGUUAAACAAACUAGUUUCCUUUUACUACACACAUGUAUGCUGCUUAUAUAUACUGGAUAUAUAAUAAAAGAUUUAUAUCCAAAGAGGGUGCCUUAGAUUAGGAGUACGGAGUCCCCAGUUAGGGUUUUUGGGAUAUGUUGUAUCUUAUAAAAAGUCGUUAUAUGUUUAGCAGAACCUGACUGCAUGUGAAUAUUAUUAAAGAAAACAUAUAUAUUUUGUAGUAA